UGCCCAAUAACAGGAUUGAACUGUUGACCUUCGCAUGACUUGAUAUACCUCGAGAGGUAUAUUAGUAUGACGCUCUAACCAGCUGAUCCAAUCGGGG